CGGGCUAUAGUGUAGCGGUAACACACACCCUUGGGGUGGGCGUAACGAUGGGUUCGACUCCCAUUAGCCCGA
rnacentral:tRNA from 1 species